CCUACGGGCGGCAGCAGUGGGGAAUAUUGCACAAUGGGGGAAACCCUGAUGCAGCGACGCCGCGUGAGCGAAGAAGUAUUUCGGUAUGUAAAGCUCUAUCAGCAGGGAAGAAAAUGACGGUACCUGAUUAAGAAGCCCCGGCUAACUACGUGCCAGCAGCCGCGGUAAUACGUAGGGGGCAAGCGUUAUCCGGAUUUACUGGGUGUAAAGGGAGCGUAGACGGCAGGACAAGUCUGGUGUGAAAUGCCGGGGCUUAACCCCGGGACUGCUUUGGAAACUGUGAAGCUGGAGUGCCGGAGAGGCAAGUGGAAUUCCUAGUGUAGCGGUGAAAUGCGUAGAUAUUAGGAGGAACACCAGUGGCGAAGGCGGCCUGCUGGACUGUGACUGACGUUGAGGCUCGAAAGCGUGGGGAGCAAACAGGAUUAGAUACCCCAGUAGUC
rnacentral:rRNA from 1 species